AGCAGAUUAAUGAUUCUUGAGCGGUCUGAGUUAGUCACAUGUCAGCCGAGUAUUUGCUUAGUCAGUCUCUACACGGAUUUGACUGACUUGGCAAAAUCACAAUGGCGGUGCGUCGAAAAAUUGGAUGAGUAGUUGGCUAAGAUUGCAGCCAUGUAUCAGAAUCUUCGAAGAUGGUAGGAUUUUUUAUGUUGAUCAUAGUCAUCAGGCGUAUCUAUAAAUAGG
rnacentral:lncRNA from 1 species